GACGAACGCUGGCGGCGUGCUUAACACAUGCAAGUCGAACGAUGACGGUGGUGCUUGCACCACCUGAUUAGUGGCGAACGGGUGAGUAACACGUGAGUAACCUGCCCUCCACUUCGGGAUAACCUCGGGAAAUCGUGGCUAAUACCGGAUAUGAGCACUCAUCGCAUGGUGAGUGCUGGGAAGAUUUAUCGGUGGGGGAUGGACUCGCGGCCUAUCAGUUUGUUGGUGAGGUGAUGGCUCACCAAGACGAUGACGGGUAGCCGGCCUGAGAGGGCGACCGGCCACACUGGGACUGAGACACGGCCCAGACUCCUACGGGAGGCAGCAGUGGGGAAUAUUGCACAAUGGGCGAAAGCCUGAUGCAGCGACGCCGCGUGGGGGAUGACGGCCUUCGGGUUGUAAACCCCUUUCAGUAGGGAAGAAGCGAGAGUGACGGUACCUGCAGAAGAAGCGCCGGCUAACUACGUGCCAGCAGCCGCGGUAACAC
rnacentral:rRNA from 1 species